CAUCGCCUCUUGCUCCAAAAAUAUAAGAGGUCCCGCCUGCCCUGUGACUAUAAGUUUAACGGCCGCGGUAUUUUAACCGUGCGAAGGUAGCGUAAUCACUUGUCUUUUAAAUGAAGACCUGUAUGAAUGGCAUCACGAGGGCUUAGCUGUCUCCCAUCUCCAGUCAAUGAAAUUGACCUCCCCGUGCAGAGGCGGGGAUGAUUACAUAAGACGAGAAGACCCUAUGGAGCUUUAGACCUAAAGUAAGUCACGUUUAACAUCCUGUGAUAACAGUAAAAACUUAGUGAUAUUUACUGAAGUGUCUUUGGUUGGGGCGACCGCGGGGUAAAACACAACCCCCAUGUGGACCGGGGAUAUUAUCCCUAAUACUCAGAGCCUCUACUCCAAGUAACAGAAAUUCUGACUUUUCUGAUCCGGUAUAACCGAUCAACGAACCGAGUUACCCUAGGGAUAACAGCGCAAUCCCCUCUCAGAGCCCAUAUCGACGAGGGGGUUUACGACCUCGAUGUUGGAUCAGGACAUCCUAAUGGUGCAGCCGCUAUUAAGGGUUCGUUUGUUCAACGAUUAAAGUCCUACGUGA
rnacentral:rRNA from 1 species